rnacentral:rRNA from 1 species
UACGGGGGGGCGAAGCGUUGUUCGGAAUUACUGGGCGUAAAGGGCUCGUAGGCGGCCAACUAAGUCAGACGUGAAAUCCCUCGGCUUAACCGGGGAACUGCGUCUGAUACUGGAUGGCUUGAGGUUGGGAGAGGGAUGCGGAAUUCCAGGUGUAGCGGUGAAAUGCGUAGAUAUCUGGAGGAACACCGGUGGCGAAGGCGGCAUCCUGGACCAAUUCUGACGCUGAGGAGCGAAAGCCAGGGGAGCAAAGCGGGGAUUAA